AAAAAAAUCUGGCCUCCCAAUCAUGCAGCUGAGCAGGGAACUCUAACAGAGCCGCUCCUCCCUCUGGCGGGUGCUGUCGGUGGGGGCGGCUUGGGAGCGGGGCUCCGCGCUCAGGGCACCGCGCGCACCGUCCGGGAGGGCACUGGCUACCACCACCGCCAGCCUCCUCACGCUGCGGCUCACGCUGCGGCUUCAAUCUUCCCGGGACUCUCAGCUCCCCCCAUUCUAACCCUCGACCCCGGAGGGCUUCCUCAGCUCUCUGGCACCAAACGUGGUCUUUUUCUUACCAGCAACCAACUCUCCAGACACCCACUGGGUGCUCCAACAAUUCUAUCGAGUUCUGUCACCGUGCCCCCAGGAGUUGGGGACAGACCCCAGCACUCAGAGGGCUCAGUCCUGCAGGUCAGGCCGAGGUACCGGGCAGGAGCCCCGCGUUUCCGACACCUGCUCGGGCUGCACCGUCUGGAGCAGCCCUGGCCGCAGCCGCAGAGGGCAAGGCCCGGGGAGGGGAGCAGGCGGCCUCCACAGCUGGGGUCUCUGUGCCGGGGCAGGAAAGACGCAGGCCCCACUCCAGAGUACGCGCAUUCAAGCCGCACCAAGGACCACUUCCCCACCCUUACAGGAGAUCUGGACCGUCUCCUGGCUCCCAGCUCUGGCCCGGCCCCGCCCCAGCCGGUGAAGGCAUUUGAGCUCUCUGCCCUCAAAUGCACAGGGGGACAAAGCACGGAGUCCAGCUUCCCCCCGCGCUCGCUCCCUGCAGGACCACGGCACAGGGGCACUCAGCGGUUCGCGCCCCUAGUCUCCCCGACCUGCUCCGCGCCUCGGCCUUCUCAACCACCUCUCACGACUGGACUAGGGCCAGGGCUUCUCAGAGGACCAGAGUGGGUCAUCGCCCAGGGUGCCCGAGUCCGGACCCGCGGUCCGCGCGUGCAGGGCAGGCUGCUGGGUGCCCACGUCCCGGGCUGCGGUGCUGGAUUCCGGCUCCGGAAACGCGCCCCCUGGGAGGCAGCAGGCGGUGGCCCUGUCCCCACGAGGUUGGCCUGGCCCUGCGCUGGCUGUGGCUGGCAUCUGGGGAGCGAACCAGAGGAUGCCGGAUUUGUCUGCCUUUCAAGUAAAACAAGGUUGUUCUUUCUGGGGUCUUGGGGAGACCUCCCGGGUUAA
rnacentral:lncRNA from 1 species